CUUUCUACUGAGUUAUGCUUCUAUCUUUCUAUUUAAAAUCUGUAACGUAUUGUGGACGACCCCACUCUCGUUAUAACAGCAUCUUGAAAAGAGAUAACUGUUUGAUGGAAUGAACUCUAUGUUGUGCAAAGUAAAAUGUAGUAUAUGGUUACAUAUCUCUACACUACGAGUUCAAAUCUUGUCCAUGCCAAUUUUCACUUCUACAGUUUUAAACAUCAGUGAUUGUUGUUGUUUUCUAGCCGCUUCAUCGACCAAAAUUAAAUGAGUAAUGGCAUUCCACCUGUGACCAUCUUACGUCGUUUCCUACAUCGACCCGCUUGACCGGGCAAUGCCAGGGCGGCAUGCUGAGAUCCUGUGUGUGUGUCAAUUCACUGACUGCGGCCAUGCUAGGACACAACCUUGAAGGGUUUGGUUGAACGAAUCGGCCGCCAGUGCUUGAAUUUUUUGAAGUAAGGUAGCAAUUCUAUCGAUCUCUUCUUUUGCCGGACUACUACGUCAUGUGUACGUGAGCAAACCGACUUUCGUUUGUAACGGGAUGUGUGGAGCUGGUUUUUUUUUACAUGUUCGAUAUGGGAAUAUAACUGAUUUCACUAUUU